rnacentral:rRNA from 1 species
AGCAAUCCGCUUUGAGAUGGCCUCGCGUCCGAUUAGCUAGUUGGUGAGGUAAUGGCCCACCAAGGCGACGAUCGGUAGCCGGACUGAGAGGUUGAACGGCCACAUUGGGACUGAGACACGGCCCAGACUCCUACGGGAGGCAGCAUG